AUACCGGGCCCAACGGGUCUGGUAAUUGGAAUGAGUACAAUUUAAAUCCCUUAACGAGGAUCAAUUGGAGGGCAAGUCUGGUGCCAGCAGCCGCGGUAAUUCCAGCUCCAAUAGCGUAUAUUAAAGUUGUUGCAGUUAAAAAGCUCGUAGUUGGAUUUCUGGUUUGAUGCGCCUGGCCCGCCGCGGUUACGCGUGUGAGAGCCGGUUGCGCGUCGACCAUCCUUCUGGAGAGCGCGGCUAUUCUUCACUGAACUGGUCGCGCGAUCUGGAUCGUUUACUUUGAAAAAAUUAGAGUGUUCAAAGCAGGCUUGCGCUGUGAAUACAUUAGCAUGGAAUAAUGAGAUAGGACUUUGGUUCUAUUUUGUUGGUUUCUAGGACCGAACGUAAUGAUUGAUAGGGACAGUUGGGGGUGCUCGUAUUCAACGGCCAGAGGUGAAAUUCUUGGAUUCGUUGAAGACGAACUUAUGCGAAAGCAUUCACCAAGGAUGUCUUCUUUAAUCAAGAACGAAAGUUGGGGGAUCGAAGACGAUCAGAUACCGUCGUAGUCUCAACCAUAAACUAUACCGACUAGGGAUGGGCGAACGUUGCUUUUAUUCGACUUCGUCCGCACCUUAUGAGAAAUCAAAGUCUUUGGGUUCCGGGGGGAGUAUGGUCGCAAGGCUGAAACUUAAAGGAAUUGACGGAAGGGCACCACCAGGAGUGGAGCCUGCGGCUUAAUUUGACCCAACACGGGAAAACUUACCAGGUCCAGACAUAGUGAGGAUUGACAGAUUGAAGAUCUUUCUUGAUUCUAUGGGUGGUGGUGCAUGGCCGUUCUUAGUUGGUGGAGUGAUUUGUCUGGUUAAUUCCGUUAACGAACGAGACCUCGACCUGCUAACUAGGUCGGCGAACACCUCGGUGUUCGACCGGCACUUCUCAGAGGGACUAUCGGUGUUCUAGCCGAUGGAAGUUCGAGGCAAUAACAGGUCUGUGAUGCCCUUAGAUGUUCUGGGCUGCACGCGCGCUACACUGAUGCAUGCAUCGAGCUCUUCCACCUUGGCCGAGAGGUCUGGGGAAUCUUGCAAUAUGCAUCGUGCUGGGGAUAGAUUAUUGCAAUUAUUAAUCUUCAACGAGGAAUUCCUAGUAAACGCAAGUCAUCAGCUUGCAUUGAUUACGUCCCUGCCCUUUGUACACACCGCCCGUCGCUACUACCGAUUGAAUGGCUUAGUGAGCCUCACGGAUCGCGGCAGUUGGUUUGCUUUCGAGCAUCCGACAGCUGGGAAAAGUGAUGCAAACUUGACCAUUUAGAGGAAGUAAAAGUCGUAACAAGGU
rnacentral:rRNA from 1 species